CCCUGAUUGGAAUUGUGCUGUUCAGAGCCUCCAAUGACCUCCAAUUGUAAGACUCCAGCCUUUGAAGUUUAUUAUCCUGCAGCCUCUCUGAUUGUAAAGCUUCACUUCCUCCUGAAAUCGUGGGCCAUACACAGAGUCCAGGAAAAACACAGCAUUGUGCACGGAGAGUCAGAAAGCGACAAUGACUGUGACACUGUUGAAAAUGCCCCCUUGAUGUUCAUGCUUUAUUCGUGGAGGGACCUCAUCCACACUCAGACCACGGACUUGGUACCAUAAGCAGAAUUUCUCGGGAAAGUGGCUCCUUACAUCACCUUCCUUCAACCAGCUCUUUAUGAAUAAUGCAUCCUGCAUCAUCCAGAGGCUUGUCCAACUCGACUUAGAAAGUGGGAAAAGCAAAUUUAGUGACGUAAGAAGGAAGGAAAAUCGCCAAGUCAUUCAAGUCCCGAGAUCCGCAAUAACAACAAAACACGGCAAGCACUUAAAAAACAGAACUGACCGAGAGAAGUUCCUCCCUCGGUCACUUGGUGGAUGCAGAACUUCGUGUAGCGCCAUUGGUUUGCCGUGGGUGAAACAGCCCCUGUCCUUGGCCCCUGCCUGGCAGCAGGUGCUCUCUGUCAGCUUCUGUGAAUCUGCGAUUAGCAGCGUGAACUCUUAGGACCUCGGCCCACCGGGCUGACCCUCUGAGACCCGCCACGUUCCUUCGGAGCUUUCACCCAGGCUUUACUGUGUAUGGUCUUAAAGAUUAGGCGGGCUGAGGAAAGGUCAAUUAACCAUCAAGUUAGGAAGAAAAAAGGCACGUUUAUCCAUCCAGACUGAGGACCACAACCCAGGAAGCAGAUUCGCGGGAGCUCUGAGAGCUGUGUCGCCGCUAGAAGCCGAAGGCACCGUCGUCCAGUCAGAAUGACCCGCUGACAUUGGACAGAAAGGUCCCCGAGGCCCCGCGGGCCCCGUGAGCACACGCCAAGGGGCGGCGCGUCCCCUCGGAGCUGGGGAAGAAUGUCCUGAGUCGCGCUGCUCGCGGCCCAGGAAAGAAGGGCUGGCUUGACCUUCAGGGUCAAGCAGGCAUAGGCCCGCCUGGCCGAGCUCUGGUGAGUGUGCCAUGUGGGUGCCCAGAGGGACCCGGAGAAUCUUAGGUUUCGCUUUCCUUGUCCCGCCUUAAAAUACAC
rnacentral:lncRNA from 9 species